rnacentral:ncRNA from 1 species
UUUAAGUUUUACUUAUAAGGGUUUUAAAUUUGAUUGUGGUUUUAAGUAGUGUUAUAAUGAUGUUAUCUGUUAGGGAUUCAUAAAGUGGGCAAUGGUUUUUUACCCUGGCAUUUUGUCAUUUGUAUAAAUUUUGUUCCAGAAUAAUCGGCUAGACUUUAUAAAUUUGAACUCUAAUUGGUGUUGGUAUGGAAUUUUAGAUUGAGUCUUGUUUUCUAGGGUGAAAUUAGGAAUUUUUAAUAGAAGGUGUUCUAGACUUUAAGAUUUGAAGAACAAACCAGAUUAGUACCUGGUUAGACAAAAAUUAAAAAAGCAGGAGUAAAGUUGUAUUUAAACUGUAAGAAUAUUGGCAGGUCUUUAAAUUAUCUUUGGAGGUUGAGUAGUAAUUGAGAACCCUCAUUAACAGCUUUUGUUUUGGGCGCAUGUAUGAUCGUUUAUUUUAUGCUUAAGGUUUGUAAUUUUAGGUUUAUUCUACUGUAAAAAUAGAUAAAUACUUGGUCUAUACAGAAGAUUUAAUUUGACCUACACUAUAUUAUUUUGUGGAUACCUUUUUAGUAUUGAGGUUGAAAAUGUAAAAGACAGUAAGUUUUUCUUUAUGUAAAACUGAAGUUUAUUUGGGGGCGGUACAAAUCAUCCAUCAAUUGCCUUUAGGGGAGUAAGUUGUAGUAAAGUAGAGUUAGGGGAACCUGUCUCUAGUAAUUUUAA